GGGCUUAUGUUUAGAGUAGCAGGUGCUGUGGAGCUUGGGGUUAUAAUUGUGGAUGUGAUGAGCGAGCUGAAAGGGAGUUUCCUAGAGAUCGGGAAUUUGGGAGAGAAGUGAGCAGCGGGGGUGAUAUUUCUUCAGUGAAAUCUAAGUCUAUUCCGCAAUCAUUGAGCGGCGAUCCUUAUCUUCACAACCAUCAUCGACCUGAGAGGUCCUCCCCUGAGCGCUCAGCUCGUAACCUUGAACCUCUGCCACCUCGCCCUCUCAAAAGAAAAUCUGACCACGAGAGAAGCGACCGUGACAGAGAUCGUGAUUACGAUUAUGACGGCUAUGACCAAGACCGAGACAGAGGUGAACGCGACCACCACCAUCGUCACCACCACCGUUCUGAACCCUCUGCAAAAGCUUUAUUUGAGACCACUGCUAAACCAGCUUCAUCAACAAUAACAGACCGCAAACAGAAAGCAAGUGUUUUCUCCCGCAUUAGCUUUCCAGAAGAAGAGCUCACCACAAAGAAGCGCAAGCUCUCUUCCUCAGGUGAAGCCCCUGCGGCGGUAGCUGGUGGUCCCUCAGCAACAUCUGCUCAUCACAAAUCUUCGUCAUCAGCUAAUGGAUACCAUGAAUCGUCCUCUGUGAAGGUCACAUCUGUGUCCGCUGGUGGUGGAGGCAAGAAGAAUAGCAGUGCUGCAGCCAUGGACUUACGAGUCGAGUGAUGAUGAAAGGCCAUUUCAAGAGGAAGCCAUCGAGGUACGAGCCCUCGCCCCCACCGCCAGCAGAGUGGGAAGAGGAUGCGAAGCAUUCAAGAGGGUCAAGAGAAAGGGAAAGGGACAGAGACCGCAAGCAUAGAUAGGGAUUUUGCGGAAGCUGCAGUCCGAGAGGGAUCGAGCAAAGGCUUUUGCUGCUGCCACUUUGGUCAAAGGGCAUAGGUGGGACACGUGUUGAUGCGAGUAACUGUUGUACCUGAAAAUGAAAUGAAUGAUGCUUCCUAAACAUACG
rnacentral:misc_RNA from 1 species